CCAGAGAAAGACACAGAAGCAUCAGCCUGCUGCAGCCAGUCAGCUUUUUCUGAAUCUUCAUGGCUCUCUCACUUCGUAGUUUUCUUCCAGUCCAGUACCAAGGGUAUCGUUUCUGCUUUUCUGAGCUGAAAUUAACCCAAUUUUCAGGAGAAUUCUGACUGGAGAGUCAUCCAGAAGUAGGAUUUAGGCAGUCUUGGACAGUCAGUUUUCAAUCUGGCGGUUAUGGAGGUUCUAAGAGGCACGAGAGCUUUUUUCUUUUUCUUUUUUUUUUUUUUCCUCCUCCUGACCUGUGUGUACUGCCUGUAUCUACCAGAUUAGUGAACAGCGGCGCCCACAGUCCUAACCAGUUACUGCAUUCCUAGCAAAUACUGAAAACCUUCUCAUUAACUUGUUAUUUUCUUAAGUUUUAGUCUAUUGUCAAGGAAAUAAUUCUACAAUAUAUGUAUGAAAAAGAGAAACUAUAUGUUCACUUCUUUAAAUGUGCCUAAAUGUCACCAAAUUGAAAUAUACAGGAGAAUCCAAGUAUUCCCAUGUUAUCUGCUUUCCAAGUUUGCUAUUCAGGGAAUUAUAGUAAAAACCUAACAUUACAAUGAGGACAAAAUCAUCUCUCCACUUUUUCUGUAGUAAAGUUUGACCACUUGGUAAUUUCCCAGGCCACAUAGAGCAGCUCCCCUUUGACUGGAGGGUGAAAAGUAUUAGAGGGAAAAAUAAUCUUUUAGAAUAUAAGCUAGACUUUAAAAAAAUCAUACCAUCCCAUUUCCUUCCCAUUAUGAUUUGAAUAUUUAUCAGAAACCUUGGGAUUUUGAAGAGCAUGGUUUAACCCUAUCCUUAUUUUUCCUCUUUUUUUUUUUUGAAGUGUCUUUGCAUUAUGUGGGUUUUUAAAAAAUUCUUAAGAUUCACCAAAGGCAAUAUAUUUUGAAAAAAAUAAAACUGGGCUCUUGGAAUUUCAUUGAAAAGUCACAUGAAUAUAUAAUUUAGAUUUCAAAUUUCAGAGACAAAGUCUAUGAUAUUAUUCUUCACAGCUGAAAAGAAAAAUGGUCUCAUCUUUAUUUUUAGAUAGGCUCUUAUAAUAUGUAUUCCUCUAUAAUCGCACUUAAUAUUUUCUCCAAGAGAAGUUGGUUUUCUCUUAACAGUAUUUUUUAACCAGUUGAGGAUGUGGCCUUCUUUUUUUUUUAAUCACUGCACUAUUAGCAAAGGGUUACUAAUUAAAAUGUCUCAGGCUUAGAGUGACUUACUUAUCUUUACCCCAAAGUUAGAGAAGCAUGCUAUCUGUACUCCAGAGUCUGAUAAUUUCAGGAACAAAUUCGGCCAGCCAACCCAUGGACACCAUGACUGAGAAAAGUUAAAAAUGAGGAAAGAAAGAAAACAAUGAAAGGUCUCAAUAAUAGUUUUUGGAAAGAGAACUUUAGUUCUUAACCAAAUCUACAGUUUCUCAGCUUCUCAAAGACAAGUACAUGGAGCCAAAGAGUAGAAAUUUAAAGGUGCAAUAAAUCAUCUUCAAUAUUGCAAGGAAGUAACUCUUUAACAGAGAAUGUAACUUUUCAGAAUACACAUUAAUAGGCAUAAACUUUUCCCCAAAGAAAUUGUGAGCUAAUGAGGUAAAUUAAAAUAUACAUAAGAACUAGUAAGUAAACCUGUAGAGCUCCCUACUUUCAGCAACCAAAAACACGCAGGAGUGAUUUAUAAAAGGAUGGUAAGUAUAAAAUAAAAAUGUUAAAAUAUCACACAAAUACAUUUGAAUCAAAUGCAACAUUUAAAGCUUCAUUGCUGCCCACACACAGUGGCUCACGCCUGCAAUCCCAGCACUUUGGGAGGCCAAGGUGGGCAGAUUACUUGAGGCCAGGAGUUUGAGACCAGCUUGGUCAAUAUAGUGAACCCCGUUUCUACAAAAACAAAAAUAAAACAAAGCUUCAUUGCUGGCACUGCAGAGAAUACCUGGUUCAAAGCUGUUUCUUGAGUUAAAGAAAUUAAGAUUUUAAAAAUAUCUAAAACCACACAUACGUUGUAGGAACAGGGCAAAUUUCCUUUCUUUAAGUUGGAGACAACUCCAUAUCCGGGCUUGGACCAGAGAUCCAGCUGAAAACAGCCCCAGGCAAUGGAGCUAUAGGGGGCAUUGCAGGUUCAGAGAGAUGGCCAGAGUCACACUGAGGAGAAACAGCAUGGAGAUCAAGGCAACGGCCAUCGCCAGCUGUUGGGUGCUGUCUGCUGCCUGCUGUUGGGUGCUGGGCGAUUGCUGAGGUCUGGUAGCAACUCCUGCAAACUAUGAGCAGCAACCAGGUGAUGUUUCAGCGUGAUGAUUCACCAUUGACCACGGUGACCAACAAACCUUGGCAGGUUGCAUCUCUGUUACCCACAGUGACACGGCACGCAUCUAGCUCGUGCACAUCCCUAGUUUGAAGAGCCACAUUAGCUGGCCUGAAGCACAUGAUAGGACAGUCAGCCUUUAUGCCCCAGCUGGUGUCCACUUUGGUGAUGGGAUAGCUGGGUUGCAUUGUGAGUGGUGCAGCAUCAAAGAGGGCCCCACUUGGCUGCAACUCCUGGCAUAGUGUCCUUGCAUUUUUGCAAUGGUCAUCCACCAUCACAUGCAGGUUCAGGAUGACACUGAGCAAGUUGAACCCUGGUCACUGGCCUGCAGAGUCAGCUCAAAGAUAGUCUGCAUGGUAACCAUAGCACUCUGCACUCACUGACAUGUAGAAUGACAGUGCCCACAGUGGCAGGUCACUGGUCAAGAAGAAACAGGAGGCAUAUGGGACCCUAAGUUAGGGUGGGAAGCGCUAAAGCAUGUGAUGGAGGUGCUGGGCAGUGUUCCCAGUCACCCAAAAGAAAUAGGAGGCUUGUUGAAGAAUGAGCAUUUUUGUGGAUGCAGAUGGUAUGCAGGGUGAUGCAGGAGAGGGACAGUUUGUCCUUGUUGGUGGUUCUGAUGGUGACAUUGUCCUUCAGGGUCUGCUACCAGUUUAGAAUUCCAUCUGUGAGUAUCUGACAAAGAGUCACAUCAUAAUUCUUGGAGGUGAAUUGUUUGCCAGUAUGAUCAUUUCUCUCUAUAAUAACUUUCAUCUUUCAUUUAAGGUCUCUUAGUCCUAUUGUUUUGGUUAGGGCAACCACAGUUUUUACCUCUGAUAGGACUAGAUACCCAGCUGAAAGUCACCUGCACUGACUGCAUUAUACUUCUCAACCUUCAUUUCAACCAGGACUCUGAAGUCGGCCCUCAAACUGCCUCCAGUCUUCUAUUCCAAGCUAUAACUGUUACUCUUCAAAAUCAAGUAUUUCUGUCAUUAUUGGACAGGAAAUAUAUUCUGUAUGCCCUGUAAAAUUGUGUAGAAAAAUCAGGAGAACUCUAUAUUAAAGAUAUUGUCUAGGUCAAUGGGGAUCACCUAAAGAAUGAAGAGGAGGAGGUGGCGAGCAGGUUCUCCUGCAGGGUUUCUUUUCUUUUCUUAAGAGAUGGGGUCUGGCCAUGUUACUCAGGCUGGAAUGCAGUGGCUAUUCACAGGUGUUCUCAUAGUGCACUGCAGCCUCUAGCUGGCAUCAAGCAAUCCUCCUGCCUCAGCCUCCUGAGUAAUGGGGACCACAGGAGUGCCACGCUGCACAGGCUCAGGGGUUCUUCAAUAGCAGCAAUUCAGAGUACAUACUGCUGUAGUACUCUCCUUUACUUGUAGGGGAAGGGGAGAUGGCUAUUAAAACUAAUCUGAUAUAUUUGUACAGUUACUGCCGGUGUUCAAAAUCUACUGCAGACUUAAGAGUAAACAUUCCUCUUAUUAAGACGUUUUUCAAAAUUUCCAAAACAAAAUUUGUGCUAAAAGCCAUUUUGUUAUUUAUAUCAAAGAUGCAUACGUUUAUAUGAAAACAUUUAUACGAUUUUCAGUGCCUUCAAAUUCAAAGGGCCGAGGGUCUUCCUUGGGCAUAACUGCUAGAUCUAUCCCGUCAUUCUCAAGCUCGGCUCUGGCUCGUUCUCUGGCUGUAAAGAGAGGCUUCUCAGCACUUACCCUUAGUUCUUUCCGUCACCGAGACGCAGAUCUUCUGAGAGAUUACCAACCUUAAACCCCUAGCCUUCUCUUCCAGAAUUUUACAGCGUAUCGGCUACGUAGAAUAAAGACCUAGUAGAAUAAAGAUCUCAGGCAGGGAAACAGCGCUUCCUGCGCUCCUCACGCCUUCCUUAUGGGGGACUUCUUCCUCUGUUUCUUCUUCCUGCUGAUACUCAGAUCCGAAUACCUCUCGCUACCGUUGCUCCCUGCUUCCUGCUUCCAAAGAUGCUCAGGAAUAAAAGGCAGCACCUCACUCGGGGUCACUAGACAUCCUGAGAUUCCUGACCAAGAUAUUUCGAGCAGAUUGUGAGACAGACAGCGGGCAGAGUCCUCUCCUAAUGUGUG
rnacentral:lncRNA from 1 species